AUUGAACGCUGGCGGCAGGCCUAACACAUGCCAGUCGAACGGUAACAGGAAGCAGCUUGCUGCUUUGCUGACGAGUGGCGGACGGGUGAGUAAUGUCUGGGAAACUGCCUGAUGGAGGGGGAUAACUACUGGAAACGGUAGCUAAUACCGCAUAACGUCGCAAGACCAAAGAGGGGGACCUUCGGGCCUCUUGCCAUCGGAUGUGCCCAGAUGGGAUUAGCUAGUAGGUGGGGUAACGGCUCACCUAGGCGACGAUCCCUAGCUGGUCUGAGAGGAUGACCAGCCACACUGGAACUGAGACACGGUCCAGACUCCUACGGGAGGCAGCAGUGGGGAAUAUUGCACGAUGGGCGCAAGCCUGAUGCAGCCAUGCCGCGUGUAUGAAGAAGGCCUUCGGGUUGUAAAGUACUUUCAGCGGGGAGGAAGGGAGUAAAGUUAAUACCUUUGCUCAUUGACGUUACCCGCAGAAGAAGCACCGGCUAACUCCGUG
rnacentral:rRNA from 1 species